UGUGGAUGAGUGGCGAACGGGUGAGUAAUACGUGAGUAACCUGCCCUUGACUCUGGGAUAAGCCCGGGAAACUGGGUCUAAUACUGGAUGCUACAUGUCACCGCAUGGUGGUGUGUGGAAAGGGUUUACUGGUCUUGGAUGGGCUCACGGCCUAUCAGCUUGUUGGUGAGGUAAUGGCUCACCAAGGCGACGACGGGUAGCCGGCCUGAGAGGGUGACCGGCCACACUGGGACUGAGACACGGCCCAGACUCCUACGGGAGGCAGCAGUGGGGAAUAUUGCACAAUGGGCGAAAGCCUGAUGCAGCGACGCCGCGUGAGGGAUGACGGCCUUCGGGUUGUAAACCUCUUUCAGCAGGGAAGAAGCCACAAGUGACGGUACCUGCAGAAGAAGCGCCGGCUAACUACGUGCCAGCAGCCGCGGUAAUACGUAGGGCGCAAGCGUUGUCCGGAAUUAUUGGGCGUAAAGAGCUCGUAGGCGGUUUGUCGCGUCUGCUGUGAAAGCCCGGGGCUUAACCCCGGGUGUGCAGUGGGUACGGGCAGACUAGAGUGCAGUAGGGGAGACUGGAAUUCCUGGUGUAGCGGUGGAAUGCGCAGAUAUCAGGAGGAACACCGAUGGCGAAGGCAGGUCUCUGGGCUGUUACUGACGCUGAGGAGCGAAAGCAUGGGGAGCGAACAGGAUUAGAUACCCUGGUAGUCCAUGCCGUAAACGUUGGGCACUAGGUGUGGGGGACAUUCCACGUUUUCCGCGCCGUAGCUAACGCAUUAAGUGCCCCGCCUGGG
rnacentral:rRNA from 1 species